rnacentral:lncRNA from 1 species
GGGAGGGAGGGGGAGGGGGAGGGGGGAAGGGAGGGGGAGGAGGGGGGAGGAGGGAGAGGGAGGGAAGAGGGAGAGGGAGGGAGGGGGAGGAAGGGGGGGAGGAGGGGGGGAGGAGGGAGAGGGAGGGAAGAGGGAGAGGGAGGGAGGGGGAGGGGGAGGGAAGGAGGGGGAGGAGGGAGAGGGAAGGAGAGAGGAGGGGAGGAGGGAAGGGGAGAGGGAGGGGGAGGGGGGAGGCUGGCGAGCGCUAGGUCCCAAGCGGGCGCAGAGGCGAGACCAGGCCGCGGCCACGCAGGCGGGGGUGAGGCCGCGGGCCCAGGGGGAGCCGUGGGCGGGAGGAGGCCGGCUCCCCAGUCCCGCCGCGCGCACCGCCCCCGCCGGGGUCGCCCCUCCCGUGACGGGUCGGCCCGAGGGCGGCGCGCCCAGGGCCCAGGAAACCCCGCCCGGGGACUGAGCCGCGUGCAGCUCGCUCGCUCGUUCAGUCUGAUGCAGCCAAGCCUCCUUUCGGCAAAGCAGGUGCCUCACUUCUCUGAGCCUCUUUUCUCGUCUGGAAAAUGUGCACGACAGCCCCUCCCGCCCGGGGUUGUUGCAAACGAACCGAGAGAGUGCGUGCAAACCGCUCAGCUGGCCCGCGGCGCCGCCGGCCGCAGCGCAGGGUGUGCGCGGCACCUUCUGCGUCCCGGUUUCUGCUCAACACAAAACGCUCCCGUUUCUCUCACGGAGAAAAUCCAGUUUGGAAACCCGGAGGGCAGAGGACACGUUGUGGCCGUUGCAGGCGAUCAUUGCAAAAAUAAACACAGGUGCAGCCUGGGGCCCUUGCGGGAGGCUGCAGGUGGCUGCGGGAGAGCCACAUUUUACUCCCAAAGGGGGGGAGUGGGGGGGUGGGGGGGAGGGUGGUGGUGGUGGAGGAUCUCUUUUCAGAACCAGUUUCAAGGUGAAGAGUCUGGUUCACCUGAAUAAAAGAAGCUGGACUGAACUCAUCAAUAUUCAUGGUCUGCUAGGGACGCUAUACCAACAUUUCACGGAGGGUGGCUGGGGGGACGGGGUGCUGGGGGAGGUGGGGGGGUGUGCCCUAAACAGCUGACAUUUACUUCUCACAGGUCUGGGGGCGGGGAAGUCCAGGAGCACCAUGCCAGGCCAAUUCCUGCUCUGGUGAGAGCUCCCUUCCAGGCUUGCCGCUGGCUGCCUUCUUGCUGCGUCCUCACAGGGCAGACAGAGCUCUGGUGUCUCCUCCUCUUAGAAGCACUUCAAUCCCACCUUGAGGACCCCACUCUCAUGACCUCAUCUAAACCUAAUUACCUCCCAAAGAGCCAGUCUCGGAAGACCAGCACACUGGGGAUUAAGGCUUUGUCAUAUGGAUUUGGGGUGGGGCAUGGCACGCGUCACUUGCAGCACUAUCUACACCGUAUUCCUACUUAUUCCUCUCUCCUAUGUUACCCACCUGUUCCUAUUAUUCCUAUUAUAUAUAUAUAUACCACCCAACCAUUAGUGGAUGACAAUAGGCAGCUAGACAAUAGUUCAUGAGUAAGUACAUAUAUCUAUAGCUACUUACAUAUAAAGAAACAUACGUAAAUAUAUAUAGAUAUUCAUUAUGGACUGUUGCCCAUUUGCCUAUUAUCUGUUAUUGUUGUUAUCCGCGGAUGGGUGGGUGGGCUACAUCUAUGUUGUCUAAUAGAACUUUCUGCAGGGAUAGAAAUAUUCCAAAUCUGUGCUCUUUAAUAUGGAAGUCAUUAGACAAAUGUGGCUGUUGAGACUUGACACGUGGCUAAUACAACUAAGGAAAUGAAUUGUAAAUUUUAUUGCGUUUUCAUUAUUAUAUUUCAGUUUAAAGAGCCACAUGGGUUACUGGCUACUGUAUUGGACAGUGCAGAGCUAGACCGAGGUGUAUAUACAGUUUCCUCUUUAUUCAAUUUUUUUUUUUAAUUUUUUUUAUUUAUUUUAUGAUAGUCACAGAGAGAGAGAGAGAGGGGCAGAGACAUAGGCAGAGGGAGAAGCAGGCUCCAUGCACCGGGAGCCCGAUGUGGGAUUCGAUCCCGGGUCUCCAGGAUCGCGCCCUGAGCCAAAGGCAGGCGCCAAACCGCUGCGCCACCCAGGGAUCCCUCCUCUUUAUUCAAUUGAUUGGUUGUGUUGAGUUUGGAAA